CAAGUUCGCGGUAAAACAUCUGCCGUGAGUGUUUUCGAAAGUUCGUUCGAAAUGUUAUGAAUCUUUUAUCAUAGAAUUUGCUUACGAUGGCAUAAAUGCUGGACACGCGGGUGCGCAUAAACCGACUAAUGGUAUGUGGUUGCCUAGUCAAGGAUCAUUUCCGAUGAGGCUUGGGAUAAUACUUUGUCACAAACCGGCUCUUGUAAAUGAGAGAAACCAUAACAUUAUCCCUUUCUCCAGUACCACGUCUUGAAGGAAGAAAAUUCCAUUGAAGGCAUGUAGUCAUCCAGUUUGCACACGUGACCUAUGAUGUCCCUUUGUUCAAUCUAGAAACAAGAAAUAGUUUUAAUUGUCCGAGAUUCGUUUUAUUGCAAUCUUAAUUGUUGUAUUAUUGUAAAUGUUCGUUUAGCUUUUACAUUUAGGGGCUGGAAUGCUAGUUGCAAUAAGUCAUGUUUCGUUGUUUACCUUACCCGCACGGAACUGGGUUUAGUUUGCAUAUUAUGGUAUAGGCCAUGUGCUCUAAUUUGUUAUCAACGUUUAGUUUUCGUUUUUGUCACGUUACCAUCUGGUUUACAAAUUUUUGAAGCCAGAUCUUACGAUUAAUUACGACCAAACUAAACCAGAUCAUCUAGUCAGAGCAUUAUUUCGAAUCGGAUCGUCGGAUUGAGACAGAAUAAAUGCAGUUAAAGGU